rnacentral:rRNA from 1 species
UACGGAGGGUGCAAGCGUUAUCCGGAUUCACUGGGUUUAAAGGGAGCGCAGGCGGAUUGGUAAGUCAGUGGUGAAAGGCUUAAGCUUAACUUGGGAACUGCCAUUGAUACUAUCAGUCUUGAAUGUUGUUGAGGUUUGCGGAAUGGGUCAUGUAGCGGUGAAAUGCAUAGAUAUGACCCGGAACACCUAUUGCGAAGGCAGCAGGCUAAACAAAUAUUGACGCUGAGGCUCGAAAAGCGUGGGGAUCAAACAGG